rnacentral:rRNA from 1 species
AUUGAACGCUGGCGGCAGGCCUAACACAUGCAAGUCGAGCGAGCGGCGGACGGGUGAGUAAUGUCUGGGAAACUGCCUGAUGGAUGUGGAUAACUACUGGAAACGGUAGCUAAUACCGCAUACCAUCAGAUGUGCCCCGAUGGGAUUAGCUAGUAGGUGGGGUAACGGCUCCACUAGGCGACGAUCCCUAGCUGGUCUGAGAGGAUGACCAGUCACCCUGUAACUGAGACACGGUCCAGACUCCUACGGGAGGCAGCAGUGGGGAAUAUGGCACAAUGGGCGCAAGCCUGAUGCAGCCAUGCCGCGUGUGUGAAGAAGGUCUUCGGGUUGUAAAGCACUUUCAGCGGGGAGGCGUUACCCGCACAAGAAGCACCGGCUAACUCCGUGCCAGCAGCCGCGGUAAUUC